rnacentral:lncRNA from 1 species
UAAUACAAGUUAUAAAAGUUCAUGCCCAUUCAAAACAUACCAGCUUUAAAUUGAAAUAACAAGAUGACAAUUCAUUAGAUUACAAAGUUGGAAAGCUUUCAUUACAAUAAUUUCAUUACAGAGCGACUACAACUUGUAAUUUCAUUACAUUAAACAAUUUCAUUACAACACAACUACAACUACAUUACAAACAACAAAAACCACAACAUGAAAGAAAAAAGAAAAAUCGAGUACACCACUUUUUUCUUCAGUCUUUCAUUCUUCAUUCUUCAAUGUCAUCUCCUCAAUUUUUUCCACCAGCUCUUGAUUUUUCUUUUCUACAAUAUCAUUGUCAUUUUUGGCAUUGACAAUAACAAUAGUCAACUCGUUAGCCUUUUAUUCAAAAUUUCUAUUUCAGACUUCAAUUCAUUGUUUUCGCGAUAAUACUGCGCAAUUCUUGAGCCCGAUGACAUUGGUGGAUCAAUCCAUUCAAAUGAGUUACAUGGUAUUGUUUUAUAAUUUGUGAAACCAACAAAUCGUCUCCCGGGAUUUGUUUUGGUCCAUGAAACCUUCACAGGUGAAAGAACUCCACAUUUGCAACUGCGUGAUGAACUCCCUGAUGAAUUUGUGCUCAUGGCUGAUUUUUCCUUCUACCGAUACAGGAGAGAACAAGUGCCAUCACUAUAUGCACACAUGGACAUAUUGAAUAGAUUCGACCCCCAAAGUACACCAAAGAGAACAUACACUUCCAAGUUCUAAUUACAGAGAAAAUCACAAGGGGGAAUAACAACUCCGUGUAUAUAUUUAAAAUUACAGUAUAUUUUCAUCAAAAUUACAGUAUUCAAAAUUACAGUAUACUAGUUUGAAGCCGAAAAUUAGAAAAAACAGGGCAUAUCAUCGGAGUAUACUUUCAAAAAAGCUAAGAAAUUAACAGACCCAUAUCAAAAAUCUAAGAAAUUUCAGAAGGAUUGAUUCAUAAUUAUAGUAUUCUCACCCAUAUCAAAAAAUCAACAGAAAUCAAAAAAGUAUAAUUAUCGAAAAUCAAUGAAAAGCUAAGAAAAAUAUGACAACUUCAAAUCACCUAAUUAACAGACCCAUAUCAAAAAUCAACAGAAAUCAAUAAGCAAGAAUUGACCCAUCAAUACCCGUAUAAUCCAAAUGCAUCAUAACAGUUCACAUCAAGGUUGAAUAAACUUCAACCACAGGGAAACAUCACAGAAAAAUUAGAAGGAAAAAGAAAUCGGAAUCUAUUACAUACACAUACCUGCUUUGCCCAAAUCGCGAAUCUUAGCGAAAUAUUAUGCGAUUCUUAGAGAAACUAGGGCUUGCAGACGCGGAAGGAAGGCUGAAAUUUGGCUCUUCUUCAAUCGCGAUUCUCAGUUCGCGAACUUGGGGGAAUCGCAUACACGGAGAAGAGCUCGACUUUUUCUUAUUAUUUGGAGAGAGGAGAGAGAUGAGAGAAGCUAGGAUUUGGAGAAGAGCCUAAAUUGCGAACUUGGUGCGAAUUUGGGGAAAAGACGCGGAGUGAAGGGGCUGAGUUUUUGUUUUUAGAUACUUAUGUUACUUAAGGAACUUAUGUCAUUUAAGAAUUAUGCUUUUGAAAC